GCCAUCUCAGUUCGGAUUGCAGGCUGCAACUCGCCUGCAUGAAGCUGGAAUUGCUAGUAAUCGCGGAUCAGCAAGCCGCGGUGAAUACGUUCCCGGGCCUUGUACACACCGCCCGUCACACCAUGAGAGUCGGGAACACCCGAAGUCCGUAGUCUAACCGCAAGGGGGCGCGGCCGAAGGUGGGUCCGGUAAUUGGGGUGAAGUCGUAACAAGGUACC
rnacentral:rRNA from 1 species